rnacentral:rRNA from 1 species
GACGAACGCUGGCGGCGUGCCUAAUACAUGCAAGUAGAACGCUGAAGGAGGAGCUUGCUCUUCUGGAUGAGUUGCGAACGGGUGAGUAACGCGUAGGUAACCUGCCUGGUAGUGGGGGAUAACUAUUGGAAACGAUAGCUAAUACCGCAUAAUAACAGUUGUUGCAUGACAACUGUUUGAAAGGUGCAAUUGUAUCACUACCAGAUGGACCUGCGUUGUAUUAGCUAGUUGGUGGGGUAACGGCUCACCAAGGCGACGAUACAUAGUCGACCUGAGAGGGUGGUCGGCCAACCUGGGACCGGGACACGGCCCAGGCGCCUACGGGAAGGCGCAGGAGGGAAUCUUCGGGAAUAGGGGGAAGUCUGGCCGAACAACGCCGCGGGAGUGAAGAAGGUUGUCGGGUCGUAAAGCUCGGUUGUAAGGGAAGAACGAGUGUGAGAGUGGAAAGUUCACACUGUGACGGUAUCUUACCAGAAAGGGACGGCUAACUACGUG